GACGAACGCUGGCGGCGUGCCUAAUACAUGCAAGUCGAACGCUGAAGAGGGGAGCUUGCUCUUCUUGGAUGAGUUGCGAACGGGUGAGUAACGCGUAGGUAACCUGCCUUGUAGCGGGGGAUAACUAUUGGAAACGAUAGCUAAUACCGCAUAACAAUGGAUGACACAUGUCAUUUAUUUGAAAGGGGCAAUUGCUCCACUACAAGAUGGACCUGCGUUGUAUUAGCUAGUAGGUGAGGUAAUGGCUCACCUAGGCGACGAUACAUAGCCGACCUGAGAGGGUGAUCGGCCACACUGGGACUGAGACACGGCCCAGACUCCUACGGGAGGCAGCAGUAGGGAAUCUUCGGCAAUGGGGGCAACCCUGACCGAGCAACGCCGCGUGAGUGAAGAAGGGUUUCGGAUCGUAAAGCUCUGUUGUAAGUCAAGAACGGGUGUGAGAGUGGAAAGUUCACACUGUGACGGUAGCUUACCAGAAAGGGACGGCUAACUACGUG
rnacentral:rRNA from 1 species